CCACAACCCGUUCUCCUCAACUCAGAAAGAUGGUCCUCGUGUUGUAGUGGUCAAAGUCCGCCAGCGCCAAUACAAAGCAUCUUUCAGUUUUGCUUUUCCAGCCAGCUGCUGAUUAAACCAAAAUACCACCAGUUCUUGAUGUCCACUGGGAUUUUCCUGCUGUAUGAAGUAUUCCCAUUGGUGAUCCAACAGAAAAUUAUUUUAUCAACCAGAAAACUUUGAACAGGCAGUGUGAGAAAAAAGUAGAAGAUGGGGCCAACCCCUGAGGCCUUCAGGCUGGGAGGACUGAACGGCCUCGUAGCCACGUUUCAGCUAAACAUUUGUGCAGCAGUGUUUCAGGCACAGGCAUGGCGGAGACUACUGACAGUGAGGCAGACAUCAGGACAGAUUCAGAGAGAGGAAAUGGGAACAAAAGGUUUUAUGGGAGGAAGACAUGUCAUUGGACAGUUGCAGAUCCGGGGUCAGUUAAGGGCCACGUAUGAUAUGUGAAGAAAACCGUGACAUUUUGCUACCCUUAUAGGACAUUGUUGCCCUGAGGAAGUGAACCAAUUCCUGCUGAGUGGGGGUGGGUGGGGGACUAAUUUAUCGAUUAGUCCCCAAAAAGUAGGUGAAAAUGUUUUUUUUCUCCCAAAAAAUAAAAUUCACCCAUAGAGGGCUAAGUAAAAUUGAAUGUGUGACUGAUCGCUGUAUUUUUACGGCAGUCACAUUGCUUUCUGACAUUGUGUAUCUAUAACUAAACCAUUCUGUAACUGCCAAAGAAAAAAAUGUUCCUUCCUUCCUUACUUGAGUGUUCUUCCUAAUGUGUAAUCAUAAAAGCCGCCCACCACUCUACACUUUGAUGAAUGGCACGCUGUUUUUUUGGGAAAUAACCCAAGACCUUCUGACCCACACAUUACCACACACACACAGUACU